CAGCAGCCGCGGGAAUACGAAGGGGGCUAGCGUUGCUCGGAAUGACUGGGCGUAAAGGGCGCGUAGGCGGAAUGCUUUGUCGGGCGUGAAAUUCCAGGGCUUAACCCUGGGGCUGCGUUCGAGACGGGUAUUCUAGAGUGGAGAAGAGGGUCGUGGAAUUCCCAGUGUAGAGGUGAAAUUCGUAGAUAUUGGGAAGAACACCGGUGGCGAAGGCGGCGACCUGGUCUUUUACUGACGCUGAGGCGCGAAAGCGUGGGGAGCAAACAGGAUUAGAUACCCCCGUAGUCCCUGUCUCUUAUAC
rnacentral:rRNA from 1 species